UUCUCGAGACGGAGACGCACCGGAAGCCGACGGGAGCGCACGUACCACGCCCGCUGCCGCUGCCGCUCAGAUAAGCUUCCGCCUCCACCUCUCCUCCCACAGCUCGCCGCCGCCUCACCCCGGGACCAGCCCAGACGAGCUAGCCAUGGCCGUUCUCCUCCGUACCACCACCUGCGCCACCGCCACGACCACCGGCUCCUCCUCGACCCUCCUCGCCACAACUUUCCGCCGCGGCCGCCGCCUCCUCCCGGCUCGCGCUUCGCCGGCGCGCCGCGUCUUCGCUGCCCGCGCCUCGGCCGAGCCGCUCGAGGUCUGCGCCAAGGCCUCCAUCACCGUCCCCGACCGCCUCGGCGACUGUCCAUUCACGCAGAGAGUUUUGUUGACAAUUGAGGAGAAAAACCUGCCGUAUGCUUUAAAACUAGUCGAUCUCGCUAACAAACCUGAUUGGUUGUUAAAAAUUAACCCAGAAGGUAAGGUGCCCAUUGUAAAGCUUGAGGACAAAUGGGUCGCUGAUUCCGAUGUUAUAACACAAGUACUAGAAGAAAAGUAUCCUCAACCAUCCUUGGCUACCCCGCCAGAAAAGGCUUCAGUAGGGUCAAAAAUAUUCUCCACCUUUAUUGGUUUUCUCAAGAGCAAAGACACCAACGAUGGAACAGAGCAGGCACUUCUUAGCGAGCUAACAUCAUUCGACAGUCAUCUAAAAGACAAUGGACCAUUUAUUAAUGGUGAAGCAAUUUCUGGAGCUGAUCUCUCUCUCGCUCCGAAAUUGUAUCACAUGGAGAUUGCUCUAGGCCACUAUAAGAAUUGGUCUGUCCCAGAUUCACUUGCAAAUGUGAAAGCAUACAUGAAGACUGUUUUCGCAAUGGAUUCAUUUGUGAACACUCGGGCUCUGCCAGAGGAUGUCAUUGCUGGAUGGCGCCCAAAAGUCAUGGGUUAAGUUACAGAUGUAAAUAUAAUUACUGGGAAAAGGUGCCCCAUUAAAUGGUUCUGAUUUUUCUCCAUUCCCCAUUUAUGAAAAACUGGGAUGUUGGUUUAAGAGAUUUAUAUGACCAUGAAAAUGGGCGUGGUCAUGACAAGGAGAGAGAUUGCUAUCAGAAGAUCUCUGAGGAGGUUCCCAAUUUUUUUUCCUUGUAUAUGAGUGAGCCACGGGCAUUUACCGAAAAUUUUCAUUGUAAAGCUUUGAAUGGUAUAUAAUUGUAACUUGUCACGGAGCCCAUUUUGUUUAAAUGUAUAAAUAAACAGGCAUGCCUGUCUCCAUUGUCUCA